rnacentral:rRNA from 1 species
GACGAACGCUGGCGGCGUGCCUAAUACAUGCAAGUCGAGCGAAGUUUUUCUGGUGCUUGCACUAGAAAAACUUAGCGGCGAACGGGUGAGUAACACGUAAAGAACCUGCCUCAUAGACGGGGACAACUAUUGGAAACGAUAGCUAAUACCGGAUAACAGCAUAAAUCGCAUGAUAUAUGUUUAAAAGUUGGUUUCGGCUAACACUAUGAGAUGGCUUUGCGGUGCAUUAGCUAGUUGGUGGGGUAAAGGCCUACCAAGGCGACGAUGCAUAGCCGACCUGAGAGGGUGAUCGGCCACACUGGGACUGAGACACGGCCCAGACUCCUACGGGAGGCAGCAGUAGGGAAUCUUCCGCAAUGGGCGAAAGCCUGACGGAGCAACGCCGCGUGAGUGAAGGAGGAUUUCGGUUCGUAAAGCUCUGUUGUUAGGGAAGAAUGAUUGUAUAGUAACUAUAUACA